rnacentral:rRNA from 1 species
CCUACGUGAGGCAGCAGUGAGGAAUAUUGGUCAAUGGACGAGAGUCUGAACCAGCCAAGUAGCGUGAAGGAUGACUGCCCUAUGGGUUGUAAACUUCUUUUAUAUGGGAAUAAAAUGUUCCACGUGUCGGAUUUUGUAUGUAUCAUAUGAAUAAGGCUCGGCUAACUCCGUGCCAGCAGCCGCGGUAAUACGGAGGAUCCGAGCGUUAUCCGGAUUUAUUGGGUUUAAAGGGAGCGUAGGUGGAUUGUUAAGUCAGUUGUGAAAGUUUGGGGAUCAACCGUAAAAUUGCAGUUGAAACUGGCAGUGUUGAGUACAGUAGAGGUAGGCGGAAUUCGUGGUGUAGCGGUGAAAUGCUUAGAUAGCACGAAGAACUCCGAUUGCGAAGGCAGCUCACUGGACUGCAACUGACGCUGAGGCUCGAAAGUGUGGGUAUCAAACAGGAUUAGAUACCCGAGUAGUC